rnacentral:rRNA from 1 species
AUUGAACGCUGGCGGCAGGCCUAACACAUGCAAGUCGAGCGGACUGAGGUAGCUUGCUACCAAGGUUAGCGGCGGACGGGUGAGUAACGCGUAGGAAUCUACCUGGUAAUGGGGGAUAACGUUCCGAAAGGAACGCUAAUACCGCAUACGCCCUAAGGGGGAAAGUGGGGGAUCUUCGGACCUCACGUUAUCAGAUGAGCCUGCGUAGGAUUAGCUAGUUGGUAGGGUAAAGGCCUACCAAGGCGACGAUCCUUAACUGGUCUGAGAGGAUGAUCAGUCACACUGGAACUGAGACACGGGCCAGACUCCUACGGGAGGCAGCAGUGGGGAAUAUUGGACAAUGGGGACAACCCUGAUCCAGCCAUGCCGCGGGUGUGAAGAAGGCCUUCGGGUUGUAAAGCACUUUCGGUCAGAAAGAAGGGUGUUGAAUUAAUACUUCAGCAUUUUGACGGUACUGACAUAAGAAGCACCGGCUAACUCCGUGCCAGCCGCCGCAGUAA